rnacentral:lncRNA from 10 species
GUAAGCAGAUCUUGGCUAUGAGUCUCUGGAUGUACUUGUCUCUCUAGAUUUCAGGGCAGUUAUUUGCCCUGCUACCUCAGCCUCUGAAGGGUCCAAUUAAAGUCAUGGAUUUUCAGUUUGUUCAGCUUUUCUUAUUGUAAGAUGGGAGAUAGGACUUCCAAUCUUUCUAUAUAGCAGAGGUGAAACUAGAAGAUUUUUACUGUAAAUUAUUUCUAUUUAGGUGCUGAAUGGUUUUAUAUAAAUGCAAACAGGUCAUGAGGGGUGGCAUAUCAGUAAUUAACUUUGGAUAUGUAAAGUUUGAAAAAGCUUUUGGAUACACUAAGGAAAGAUAUCAAGAUAAUUGUGAAGAUCAGCCAAAAAGAUGAGUAAAUGAUAUAAAGUUGACAAACUGUAAGACAAUUGAAAUACCAUAAAAAACACCAGGCUGGUCUGGCUAGAAGAAGAAAUCUUGUAUUCAGACUGAACAAAACCCUAGGAUCCCAGGACAAGCAGGUUGGUGGUUCUUCAUGGUGAUUAUACGGGCGCUUUUGCUUCUUUGAUGAUCUCCCUGUCUCUGGGACAAUUAACCAAUCAUGUUUAAGGCACAGAGUGAAGAAAUUACGAGUCAUACAGCUGAAGUAUGCACAGAAAAGAUUUCAACCUCAAAUAAAAUCUGGAACUGAAGUUUCACUCCCCUCAUGGAACAAAUGUAUCAAGACUUGGUCAGAACUGAAGGCCAGAACACUUUCAAAAGUGAAGGGGUACAAGCUCAGGAAUGUUAGGUGUUAAGAUCCCUUACCAUACUUUACCAUAUAUGGUCUUGUUUAAAGUUCUUCCAAUCAAGACCUACCCACCAGCACUUCUGCAUACCAGCCUGCUCUCUCUAACCCAGAAAACUUGCCCCAGACUCCAGAAUGGGGAGAUGGAAUUGAGCUUUGUCUCCUGCCUCCUCGCCGCCAACCCCACAAUAAAACCUUUUUUUUUCUUAAAAAC